rnacentral:rRNA from 1 species
AUUGAACGCUGGCGGAAUGCUUUACACAUGCAAGUCGAACGGCAGCACGGGGGCAACCCUGGUGGCGAGUGGCGAACGGGUGAGUAACACAUCGGAACGUGCCCAGUCGUGGGGGAUAACGUAGCGAAAGCUACGCUAAUACCGCAUACGAACUCUGGUUGAAAGCGGGGGACCCGUAAGGGCCUCGCGCGAUUGGAGCGGCCGAUGGCAGAUUAGGUAGUUGGUGGGGUAAAGGCCUACCAAGCCGACGAUCUGUAGCUGGUCUGAGAGGACGACCAGCCACACUGGGACUGAGACACGGCCCAGACUCCUACGGGAGGCAGCAGUGGGGAAUUUUUGGACAAUGGGCGCAAGCCUGAUCCAGCCAUUCCGCGUGCAGGAUGAAGGCCCUCGGGUUGUAAACUGCUCUUGU